rnacentral:rRNA from 1 species
AAUUCGAUGCAACGCGAAAACCUUACCUGCCCUUGACAUGUCAGGAAUCUUCCAGAGAUGGGGAGUGCCUUCGGGAGCCUGAACACAGGUGCUGCAUGGCUGUCGUCAGCUCGUGUCGUGAGAUGUUGGGUUAAGUCCCGCAACGAGCGCAACCCUUAUCAUUAGUUGCUACGCAAGGGCACUCUAAUGAGACUGCCGGUGACAAACCGGAGGAAGGUGGGGAUGACGUCAAGUCCUCAUGGCCCUUAUGGGUAGGGCUUCACACGUCAUACAAUGGUCGGUACAGAGGGUUGCCAACCCGCGAGGGGGAGCUAAUCCCACAAAGCCGAUCGUAGUCCGGAUCGCAGUCUGCAACUCGACUGCGUGAAGUCGGAAUCGCUAGUAAUCGUGGAUCAGCAUGUCACGGUGAAUACGUUCCCGGGUCUU